CUUUGCAGAACCUGGUUAUCUUAACUUGUUUUGUCUAUUGAUGUCGGAAGGUCUUGGUUCAUUUUUUAUUGAGUUGUUUUUCAGUAGUUUGUUGGAAACAUUUUUCUACCCGUUAUUUCAUUGUAAUCAUUAGUUUGUAGUUUAAAUCUUUAAUUUUUGUUGACGUAUUAAAUGUUUGGGUUUCAGUUUGGGUCUGGGUUCGGACUUGAUCCGAUCUAUUGUUCUUGUUGGGCUAUAUUUAAGCCAUUGUAACCCUAUUUUGAAAGUGUGAAUGAAAAUUGAAAGAGAGACCAGCUGCUAGUGAGCGUUGAACCCUCUUGGUUUUUUUUCUUGGUUGAGGUUUUUUCCACGUUAAGAUCGUGUUCUUUGAGUUCAUUAUCGAACAUGGUAUCAGAGCCAAAUUUCUGAAGAAAAAAUCAGUCGGUCUGAAGUCCCCGUGAAGCUGGUGAAGUUCCCGUGGGAACCUACCGUGAAGUUCCGGCGCCUCUGCUCACGCCCGCCGGUGCUGUUUUUUUUCGUUUUUUCGUAUUGGAGUCGUCCACGGUCGCCCGACUUUGCCGUGAAGGUCCGGUGUGUCUACGGUGAGCUCUGCAUCGCCCGACUUUGCCGUGAAGGUUCGUGCGUUGACCGUGAACUCUGCUGUGCGUUGACCGUGAACUCUGCUGUGCAUUGCCCGAAGGUCUUUCGACUACGCUGCUUUGCUGCCAUUGGUUCCUCGUCUCAGUCAGACGCCAGACUUGUUUGUUGCCGGUGCUCCCUGUCGCCACUGCACUCUGCCGCUGCUGCCCUCCGCCACUGCUGUUCUCUGCUGUGGCGCAAGACCUUCAGCCGCCUGGCCUGUCCGGUGCUUGAGCUCUUUGUGUGGCGUGCCGUGCAGGGGGCCGUGCUCUCGUCGACGACAGCAUCUUCCCGUCUACCGACCAACUCUCUGCCUGCGCAGUCUCUUCCCGUCUACCGACCAACUCUCUGCCGUGACGGGGUGCGCAGCAGAGUUGUAGCUAUCUCAGCGACUCAGCCGGUGUCUCCUGCGUGCAGCUGCAGUUCGCUCUUACCGCAGCCUGCUUCUGCUGCGCCACCUGCUCCUGCGUCUGCCGCCACAGCGCCGCCACCUCCACUUGCUUCUGCCGCCGACACUGUGCCUGUUUUUGCCACCGCCGCUUGCACUGUUGCAGUCACCGCCUGCACAACUGUUUUCGCUGUUAAAUUGUUGUGCCUCGGUGAUGGCAGAAUCAGCCUCUUCUGUCGUUAGUACUGACCAGGGAGAAGAAGUUGGGGUCUUUAGAACUCAAUACAUACCUGUUCAAGUCACCACCAUUCGUCUUAACAAGGACAAUUAUCGUCAAUGGUCUGCUGCUAUCACUACGGAAAUUGCUGAUAGGGGGCGGAUUGCUUAUGUCAAUGGAAAAAAGACUGAACCACCUAAGACCAGUCCAACAUGGGAUACAUGGUUCAUUGAAGACAAUCAAGUCAAAACUUGGAUUGUCAAUGCUGUAUCUUCUGACAUUCAACUCCUCAUUCUUCGUAAGAGGACUGCCAGAGAUAUGUGGGUUAUUUUAGAACAGAUGUAUGGUAAGAAGAAGAAGAAGGAUGUUCGAGUGUACCAACUGAUGAAAGAUGUCUAUGCCCUAAGGCAAGGAGAACUUUCCGUAGCAGAUUUUUAUGCGACAUUGAAAUCCAAAUGGGAGGAACUUGAUUACUAUUCUGAUGAUAAUUGGAAUUGUCACCAAGACCAGCUAUGUCAUUGGGCCAAAAAAUGGGAAGAUAGGGUGUUUUUGUUCUUGGCAGGACUAAAUGAUGACUUCGAAGGUAUAAGGAGUCAGAUUCUUAACUCAGAAAAAACGUUUAGCAUUGAAGAUGUCUAUUCUCGCAUUGAAGUUGAAGAGCAAAGACGUCUGAUCACAACAGGAAAAAAGGGGGCUCAUACCUCAUAUGGUGAAAGGUCUCCUCUUGUUAGCCGAGUUCCUAUGGGGGCAACUCGACCCACUUGGAAAUGUACUCAUUGCAAGAAAACCGGUCACACCAUGGAGUUUUGUUGGGAUUUGCAUCCUGAAAAGAAGAAUAGUCGUGGGAGAUUUUCUAAUGGGAAGAAGCCUAUUUCUGGUGUUAUUAAUUCUAAUGGGGAAAAAACUUCUAUAUCUGUUGAACAAAUUCACGAGCUUCGAGCAUACCUAAGCCAGAUUGAUACUAGUCAAGCCUAGACAUCAGAUGAUGUGAGAGUUAAUCACGCCCUUCGUACCUCUGGAGAAAAAGUCAUACUCAUACCGGAAAGUUCUUCCAGUGCUAUCAGAAGUUUAUCAUGCCAUUGCUCUUGACUGGCUUGGUUUUGGAUUUUCUGAUAAGCCUCAACCUGGUUAUGGUUUUGACUACACCUUGGAUG